UAUGUGAAUUGUUCACAAUAGUAAGGUUAUGACAAUAAUCAAAUUUGGAGUAUGGUUUUCCACACUAUUUGCAAGACAACAAUGGAUUGUUUACUCUUGCAAGACAUACAAAUGGGAGGAAGAAGAGCUUGUCUUACACUAAUGUGGGAACCAUAACCCCCACUUAAUAACAAAUGAGUUAUAUAACCCAAGAGUCUUGCAAGAGUUACAUAACUCAAGAGUCACAAGCAUGUAACCAUGGUUAC
rnacentral:lncRNA from 1 species